rnacentral:rRNA from 1 species
GAGAGAGGUAGCCCGGAGAGGGACACUGAGAAACUGGUCCCAGCCCUACGGGGUGCAGCAGGCGCGAAACCUUUACAAUGCACGCAAGUGUGAUAAGGGAACCCUAAGUGCUCAUGCAUUGCAUGGGCUUUUGCUAAGUGUAAAUAACUUGGAGAAUAAGUGGUGGGUAAGACUGGUGCCAGCCGCCGCGGUAACACCAGCGCCACGAGUGGCAACCGCGUUUAUUGGGCCUAAAGCGUCCGUAGCCGGUUUGUUAAAUCUUUUGUGAAAUCGACAGGCUCAACCUGUCGGCGUGCUUAAGAGACUGGCAAACUCGAGACCGGGAGGAGUAAGAGGUAUUCUGGGGGGAGCGGUAAAAUGUGAUAAUCCCCGGAAGAUCACCUAUGGCGAAGGCAUCUUACCAGAACGGAUCUGACGGUGAGGGACGAAGGCUAGGGGAGCGAUCCGGAUUAGAUACCCGAGUAGUCCUAGCAGUAAACGCUGUGAGCUAGGUGUUGCAUUUCUCAUGAGGACAUGCAGUACCGAAAGGAAGCUGAUAAGCUCACCGCCUGGGAAGUACGGUCGCAAGACUGAAACUUUAAGGAAUUGGCGGGGGAGCACCACCAGGGGUGCGGCGUGCGGUUUAAUCUUAUUCGACACAGAGAACCUUACUAGUGGCGACGGCAGGAAGAAGGUCAGUCUGAAGGGCUUACCUGACGAGCCGAGAGGUAGUGCAUGGCCAGCGUCAGCUCGUGCCGUAAGGUGUCCAGUUAAGUCUGGCAACGAGCGAGACCUAUAUCUACUAUUGCUAGCGGCCAUUUA